GAGUUUAUCUUGGCUCAGAUUGAACGCUGGCGGCAGGCCUAACACAUGCAAGUCGAGCGGAUGACGGGAGCUUGCUCCUUGAUUCAGCGGCGGACGGGUGAGUAAUGCCUAGGAAUCUGCCUGGUAGUGGGGGACAACGUUUCGAAAGGAACGCUAAUACCGCAUACGUCCUACGGGAGAAAGCAGGGGACCUUCGGGCCUUGCGCUAUCAGAUGAGCCUAGGUCGGAUUAGCUAGUUGGUGGGGUAAUGGCUCACCAAGGCGACGAUCCGUAACUGGUCUGAGAGGAUGAUCAGUCACACUGGAACUGAGACACGGUCCAGACUCCUACGGGAGGCAGCAGUGGGGAAUAUUGGACAAUGGGCGAAAGCCUGAUCCAGCCAUGCCGCGUGUGUGAAGAAGGUCUUCGGAUUGUAAAGCACUUUAAGUUGGGAGAAGGGCAGUAAGUUAAUACCUUGCUGUUUUGACGUUACCGACAGAAUAAGCACCGGCUAACUCUGUGCCAGCCGCCGCGU
rnacentral:rRNA from 1 species